rnacentral:rRNA from 1 species
UACGAAGGGGGCUAGCGUUGCUCGGAAUUACUGGGCGUAAAGGGCGCGUAGGCGGAUACUUAAGUUAGAGGUGAAAGCCCAGGGCUCAACCCUGGAAUAGCCUUUAAUACUGGGUAUCUUGAGUUCGGGAGAGGUGAGUGGAAUUCCGAGUGUAGAGGUGAAAUUCGUAGAUAUUCGGAAGAACACCAGUGGCGAAAGGCGGCUCACUGGACCGGCAUUGACGCUGAGGUGCGAAAGCGUGGGGAGCAAACAGG